UAGAUAGAAAGAUUAAACUGAAGAGUUUGAUCAUGGCUCAGAUUGAACGCUGGCGGCAGGCUUAACACAUGCAAGUCGAACGAUGACUCUCUAGCUUGCUAGAGAAGAUUAGUGGCGGACGGGUGAGUAACAUUUAGGAAUCUGCCUAGUAGUGGGGGAUAGCUCGGGGAAACUCGAAUUAAUACCGCAUACGACCUACGGGUGAAAGGGGGCGCAAGCUCUUGCUAUUAGAUGAGCCUAAAUCAGAUUAGCUAGUUGGUGGGGUAAAGGCCCACCAAGGCGACGAUCUGUAACUGGUCUGAGAGGAUGAUCAGUCACACCGGAACUGAGACACGGUCCGGACUCCUACGGGAGGCAGCAGUGGGGAAUAUUGGACAAUGGGGGCAACCCUGAUCCAGCCAUGCCGCGUGUGUGAAGAAGGCCUUUUGGUUGUAAAGCACUUUAAGCAGGGAGGAGAGGCUAAUGGUUAAUACCCAUUAGAUUAGACGUUACCUGCAGAAUAAGCACCGGCUAACUCUGUGCCAGCAGCCGCGGUAAUACAGAGGGUGCGAGCGUUAAUCGGAAUUACUGGGCGUAAAGCGAGUGUAGGUGGCUCAUUAAGUCACAUGUGAAAUCCCCGGGCUUAACCUGGGAACUGCAUGUGAUACUGGUGGUGCUAGAAUAUGUGAGAGGGAAGUAGAAUUCCAGGUGUAGCGGUGAAAUGCGUAGAGAUCUGGAGGAAUACCGAUGGCGAAGGCAGCUUCCUGGCAUAAUAUUGACACUGAGAUUCGAAAGCGUGGGUAGCAAACAGGAUUAGAUACCCUGGUAGUCCACGCCGUAAACGAUGUCUACUAGCCGUUGGGGUCCUUGAGACUUUAGUGGCGCAGUUAACGCGAUAAGUAGACCGCCUGGGGAGUACGGCCGCAAGGUUAAAACUCAAAUGAAUUGACGGGGGCCCGCACAAGCGGUGGAGCAUGUGGUUUAAUUCGAUGCAACGCGAAGAACCUUACCUGGUCUUGACAUAGUGAGAAUCCUGCAGAGAUGCGGGAGUGCCUUCGGGAAUUCACAUACAGGUGCUGCAUGGCUGUCGUCAGCUCGUGUCGUGAGAUGUUGGGUUAAGUCCCGCAACGAGCGCAACCCUUUUCCUUAUUUGCCAGCGGGUUAAGCCGGGAACUUUAAGGAUACUGCCAGUGACAAACUGGAGGAAGGCGGGGACGACGUCAAGUCAUCAUGGCCCUUACGACCAGGGCUACACACGUGCUACAAUGGUAGGUACAGAGGGUUGCUACACAGCGAUGUGAUGCUAAUCUCAAAAAGCCUAUCGUAGUCCGGAUUGGAGUCUGCAACUCGACUCCAUGAAGUCGGAAUCGCUAGUAAUCGCAGAUCAGAAUGCUGCGGUGAAUACGUUCCCGGGCCUUGUACACACCGCCCGUCACACCAUGGGAGUCUAUUGCACCAGAAGUAGGUAGCCUAACGAAAGAGGGCGCUUACCACGGUGUGGUCGAUGACUGGGGUGAAGUCGUAACAAGGUAGCCGUAGGGGAACCUGCGGCUGGAUCACCUCCUUAA
rnacentral:rRNA from 1 species